CUAGGGGCGUAAUACCGGAUAGGAGCUCCUGCUGCAUGGUGGGGGUUGGAAAGUUUCGGCGGUUGGGGAUGGACUCGCGGCUUAUCAGCUUGUUGGUGGGGUAGUGGCUUACCAAGGCUUUGACGGGUAGCCGGCCUGAGAGGGUGACCGGCCACAUUGGGACUGAGAUACGGCCCAG
rnacentral:rRNA from 1 species